CCUACGGGAGGCAGCAGUAGGGAAUAUUGCUCAAUGGGGGAAACCCUGAAGCAGCAACGCCGCGUGGAGGAUGAAGGUUUUCGGAUUGUAAACUCCUUUUGUUAGAGAAGAUAAUGACGGUAUCUAACGAAUAAGCACCGGCUAACUCCGUGCCAGCAGCCGCGGUAAUACGGAGGGUGCAAGCGUUACUCGGAAUCACUGGGCGUAAAGAGCGCGUAGGCGGGAUAGCAAGUCAGAUGUGAAAUCCUAUGGCUUAACCAUAGAACUGCAUUUGACACUGUUAUUCUAGAGUAUGGGAGAGGUAGGUGGAAUUCUUGGUGUAGGGGUGAAAUGCGUAGAGAUCAAGAAGAAUACUCAUUGCGAAGGCGACCUGCUAGAACAUAACUGACGCUGAUGCGCGAAAGCGUGGGGAGCAAACAGGAUUAGAUACCCGAGUAGUC
rnacentral:rRNA from 1 species